rnacentral:lncRNA from 1 species
GGCAGGAAAAGCAGUGGGCUGAAGGGCUGCGAUGGUGCCAUGCUGGGCUCCGGCCUCCGCCGGUCCCUGCACAGCAGCAGGUAGAACACAGCCAGGCAGGAGAACUCACCAAGGAACAUGCCCACGGCCUGCAGGAAGGGGUGCUGGAAGCUGUGCUCCUCCGUCCCACCACAGCCAGCAGCGCUGAAGUUGUCAGCCCAUUUGGCCGCCAGAGUGUUGAUGGAGCCGGUGAGCAGCAUGAGGGCAGCCAGGCCCAGCUGGUACCGAGACCACGCCAUGGCCCCGCCGCCGCCGCUGCCGCCGCC